rnacentral:lncRNA from 1 species
CUGGGCAGCUAUAGACUGUACCAAUAUCGCAGUUCUAUAGUCAAUUGAUUAAGUACGACCACAUGACAUGUCUCAUCAUGCCUGCUGAACGAGUGUACAUACAUACAACUAGCAUCAUUUGCAACUGGAGUCAGAAUUAACAAAGAAUAGGCUUUAAUUAACCACGCUUUGUAAGUUAAUUUGAAAUUAUAUACCCCUUCAUAAAUACCGAAAAUGAAAAUAACCUGUCAGAAUUAGUAUAAGUACAAAAAAUUUUGAGACUCCAUUUUAAAAACUGUGGCACUAGCUAGCCUCCUCCGCAGGCAACUGUGUGUUUUGCAACGUUAUUAAAGGAAAUACUAGUUCUGAAAUACGAUAUGAUAUUAAUAAACACUGGAGCGUAAAAUUAAAAAGGCGGGCGGGAAAGGGGCGGGGCGAGAAAAGCGAAGGAGGAAGGAAGGAACUCUCCCUUCUCGUUUCUCGUUUUCGCCCAACUAUUAUCCCAUUACUUCCUACAUUAUCCACAAGCUUCCCUAUUUUUACGCUCCAGUGUUUAUUAAUAUCAUAUCGUAUUUCAGAACUAGUAUUUUCUUGUAUUUUCUACGUUCCUGAUAAAUUUUUUAUGGUUAAUAACGUUGCAGAACUACACAGUUGCCUGCGGAGGAGGCUAGGCACUAGCGUUGUUCCUAAAAGAGAAAUGUAAUAUAGGUAUGCCCGUCAGGAAUAUAUUCUAUGCAAAUCCCAUGAUUUUCUGAUAAAGUUUACAUUGUUUACAGGGCUCAUUGUUCUUCCCAUGCAAUACAAUCGCAAUAAUUCUGAUGAAUUUGCUCUGUACAAGUUGUAGCUGAGUUGACUCGAGUCAUUUACGGCCAAAUCAGCAAGUCGAGUCCGAGUCGAGUCAUUUGGGGCUGUUGACUCGGGUCGAGUCAUUUCUCGUAUUGGACUCGAGUCAAGUCGAGUCGCUGAAAAUAGCGACUCGAGUCGACUCGAGUCGGAGUCAAUGACUCGACUCGUUACAACACUGGACUAAGGGUCGGCGGCAAUCUCGUACCCAGACUAUUUUUUCUCGUCUUCUGACCCUGGGUACGAGAAUGCGUCGGCGGUUGUGUUUUCGGGAAUUUAAUAUAGGUAAAUGAAUGAGGUAAAAGUUUAUGAAUACGAGAGCAUGCAUGAUCCUGGGGUGUCACCAGGGAUAUGCAGGGUGUAUAAAAAAAAUGAACAGAUUUGAAAUUGCUCUCAAUUUCGCAAAACAGCUACUAGUAUCUAGUUUUUGUUAUAUACUAGUAGAUUUCUUGAGUACCCAUAAUGUAGAAAAAAUACUCGAACUCAAAUUCUGUAAACCAGGGGGCUGCUUCUUAUCCAACAAGUUAAAAAUGGCUUGCGCACGAAAUUUAAAAGCUUUAAUUAUAUUUUGAGUUAGUGGACGGAAAAUUUGGUGGGUUUUUAAUUAUAGUACAAAAUUUGCUUUAGUUAAACUUUAAUUAUUCAUUUUUCCUAAAAAAUCAGCCUUUCGCAUGCUUAAUUAAUGCCUUUAUCUAAUUUCCAUAUUGCUGACAAUGCAAAUUAAAAAUGUAAAUUUGUGUGAGUAGUUACAGGGCUUAAACUGAAGCAAAUUGUCUGAAAUUUCGUGCAGCAAUUAAAUACCCAACACAUUUUACACACAUUGACUCAAAAUACAAUCAAAAUACGAUAAAUCUCGUGCGCAAGCCAUUUUUAGUUUGUAGCUACAAAAUUUGAGUUCGAGAAAUAUUUUUCAUUAUUCUAUAUUAUAAGUAGUAAGCACCCAAAGAAGCUGUAUAUGCAAAAUUUAAAAAACCGGACACUAAUAGCUGUUUUGCGAAAUUGAGAGCAAUUUCAAAUCUGUUCGGUUUUUUUAUACACCCUGUAUAGUGUAAUUAACUAAAUUAAUUUUAGAUAAUAAUUAUUUUAAGUUUGACAGCAAAAUAUAACGCGGCAUAUAUAUAGGAUGGGGACAGCUGUACUAAAUUUGCGCCGUCUUUUCCAAAAUGUUUAUGUCGAAAUUGGAGAGUAAAAUUCUAGAAUAAAGUAGUUUUAAUUAAGUAAGUUUUAGGUUUUUAGACUACAUUUUUUUCGUUUGCUUACAUGGAAAGGAAUCACUUUUGAAACUUCUGGGUUUGUUAACUCAAAUCAUGAAAAUAGGCUUGGGAAUGGUCUUGUGUAAAUUGGUUGGUUGUCAUAUUGGAAAUUAAGGAUGGUUUUUUUAAAACCGACAGAUAUACUCAUCAAUAUUUAGAUUUAUUCUUCUCCGCAGGUAACUAUAUGUAGUUCUCUAAAUUAUGUGUCAUAUCAAUACAUUAAUCAGGAACGUAGGAAAUACAAGGAAAUAGUCCGAAAUAUAUACGAUAUGAUAAUAAGAAAGACGCUUAUAAUAAUCAAGAAACAAACCUGUCCGUGGAUACCAACACCUUUUCCAUUGACGAUAAAAUCCCGCAUGCCUUUUUCGAAAUUAAGCGUUAUACCUCCGCCCUAAACGAAUUGACCAAUGAAAUAUAUGUGUCACUAUAUGGAAGAUACGCGUAAAUGUCUCAUGUCUUAAGCAAAAUAUGUCCGGCAAACAGAAUUGCAGAUCUUGUCAACAGAUGCAGCUACAAAGGAACUGCAACAGCAGCUAAAACCAUUCCAAGUGAGUGUAUACGCAACGUGAUGUUGGAACAAUGUUGUAGCAUGCGAGUUACUUUG